CGCGUAGGCGGCGUAACAAGUGUCGGGUGAAAGCCCACGGCUCACCCGUGGAACUGCCCGGCAAACUGUUAUGCUAGAGUGUGGUAGGGGAGAGCAGAACUCAUGGUGGAGCGGUGAAAUGCGUAGAUAUCAUGAGGAAUACCGGUGGCGAAGGCGGCUCUCUGGUCCACAACUGACGCUGAGGUGCGAAAGCUAGGGUAGCGAACAGGAUUAGAUACCCUGGUAGUCC
rnacentral:rRNA from 1 species